AGUCGAACGAAAUCUUCGGAUUUAGUGGCGGACGGGUGAGUAACGCGUGAGAAUCUGGCUUCAGGUCUGGGACAACCACUGGAAACGGUGGCUAAUACCGGAUGUGCCGAGAGGUGAAAGGUUAACUGCCUGAAGAUGAGCUCGCGUCUGAUUAGCUAGUUGGUAGAGUAAGAGCCUACCAAGGCGACGAUCAGUAGCUGGUCUGAGAGGACGAUCAGCCACACUGGGACUGAGACACGGCCCAGACUCCUACGGGAGGCAGCAGUGGGGAAUUUUCCGCAAUGGGCGAAAGCCUGACGGAGCAAUACCGCGUGAGGGAGGAAGGCUCUUGGGUCGUAAACCUCUUUUCUCAGGGAAGAACACAAUGACGGUACCUGAGGAAUAAGCAUCGGCUAACUCCGUGCCAGCAGCCGCGGUAAUACGGAGGAUGCAAGCGUUAUCCGGAAUGAUUGGGCGUAAAGCGUCCGCAGGUGGCAAUGUAAGUCUGCUGUUAAAGAGUCUAGCUCAACUAGAUAAGAGCAGUGGAAACUACAUAGCUAGAGUACGUUCGGGGCAGAGGGAAUUCCUGGUGUAGCGGUGAAAUGCGUAGAGAUCAGGAAGAACACCAGUGGCGAAGGCGCUCUGCUAGGCCGUAACUGACACUGAGGGACGAAAGCUAGGGGAGCGAAUGGGAUUAGAUACCCCAGUAGUCCUAGCCGUAAACGAUGGAUACUAGGCGUGGCUUGUAUCGACCCGAGCCGUGCCGUAGCUAACGCGUUAAGUAUCCCGCCUGGGGAGUACGCCGGCAACGGUGAAACUCAAAGGAAUUGACGGGGGCCCGCACAAGCGGUGGAGUAUGUGGUUUAAUUCGAUGCAACGCGAAGAACCUUACCAAGGCUUGACAUGUCGCGAAUCCUGGUGAAAGCUGGGAGUGCCUUCGGGAGCGCGAACACAGGUGGUGCAUGGCUGUCGUCAGCUC
rnacentral:rRNA from 1 species